GAUGAACGCUAGCGGGAGGCUUAAUACAUGCAAGUCGAACGGUAACAGGCGUAGCAAUACGCGCUGACGAGUGGCGAACGGGUGAGGAACACGUACGCAAUCUGCCUCUGACUGAGGGAUAGCCCCGGGAAACUGGGAUUAAUACCUCAUAAUAUAUUGAUGUGGCAUCACAUUAAUAUUAAACCUCCGGGGGUCAGAGAUGAGCGUGCGGCUGAUUAGGUAGUUGGUAGGGUAACGGCCUACCAAGCCAACGAUCAGUAGCUGGCGUGAGAGCGCGACCAGCCACACGGGCACUGAGACACGGGCCCGACUCCUACGGGAGGCAGCAGUAGGGAAUAUUGGACAAUGGCCGAAAGGCUGAUCCAGCCAUCCCGCGUGCAGGUAGACGGUCCUAUGGAUUGUAAACUGCUUUUCUCUGGGAAGAAACCCCCGAAUUCUUUUGGGGCUGACGGUACCAGAGGAAUAAGCACCGGCUAACUCCGUGCCAGCAGCCGAC
rnacentral:rRNA from 1 species